CAAAAGGCAAAUGGAAAGCUCUGCUCCAUACCACAGGAAAAAGUGUGCGUGGCAAAAAAAUAAGAAUUAAGAAGAAAUAUCCGGCAUCCGAAGAAUAUAAAGCAGUUAGUUAGUUAGCUAAAUGGUUGUGAGAAGCUUAGCCAAGUAGUUCAGAAAAUAUUCACUAUCUUAUGGCGAAAUAUUGUUUACUGGCCAGGACAGCUUGCAGUGAUGUUUUGUUGACAAUCAAUGCAUAACAUUUAAGACGUUAAAACCACGUUUUGCCGCACCUGCUAGCAAGCUAAUUGGAAAGUUCCCCAAGAGAGUGAGGAAAUGGACCCUACAUCAAGAUUUUCAGGUGCUGAUCUCCCUCUAUCCUCCCUACAUCUCCUGGUGCCACCACUACUUCUGAAGUCUGCUUUCAUGUGGCAAGUGGCUCAGCAGCAUGACGUGAUGCAGUAUGGGAAGCUGGAGGAGUUUGUGACUGGUAACUAGAGAUGGUUCCGGUCCAACUCAUCCUGGGACUGAGGGCGAGGGUGAGAUGGGUGGAAGUGUUUAGGGUUGAGAAUGGUGUAGGGUCGGGGGUGAAAUUUAGACUUUUGUUCCCCCCUGGAUCUCAGACAUGGGAUGGUGACCCGAAGAUCGCUCUCGUCACAAUUUCCUGAAAGCCUUGUAUUCACUCCUUAUCAGUUACAUAUUUGGCUCCUCAAUUUGUCUCCUCAGUAUAUAAAAUGCAUACAUCUCCUGUUUCAGCUGGUUCUUGAAUUUGGUGGUGGUGUGUAGUCUAACCCAGCUGGGUACAAAACCAUCCAGCCCCACCUAGACAGAAUCCAUUCAUGCACAAUGCGUGAGGUGGUACUUAACCUGCAAUAUGUGUAACACACACCAGUCUGUUAAAGGCAAGUCUGCUUUACCUAGUUGCAGAUGUUUGCAAUUAUUUUGUGUGUGAUCGCAUAUUCAGAGCAAAGAUAAAGAAGUGGAGGCAUCAACAGAUAACUUUGCGGAGUUGGUCCAAACACUGCGAGAAGACCCAACAGAGGGAACACUUCAGAUGAGAUAAUAUCUAACGUCUAGAUCAUGUCACAAAUCCCUUCUUCAAAGGACUAGAAUGACCUUGAGGGGAAUAUUGAGUAUGAUUUGACUACUACUUACGGUAUCCCUGGGUUUAAACUACAUAAUGACUCUAUUUCUGUGUUGGAGGUGUUCCCUGUGCAGUACAGCUCUAGGUAUGAUACAGCGUUGCAGAUAUUGGUGUGGCAGUUCUUUGACAGACUGGAGGAGAUGCUGCCAGUGCUCAACUUUACACAGUACUGAUGCCACUCACAGGAGGUUGGUGACACCUUAAUUGGGGAGGACUGGCUCGUGGUAAUGGCUGGAGCAGAAUAAGUGCAAUGGUAUCAAACGGGGUUUCCAUGUGUCUGAUGCUAUUCAAUUUACUCCGUUCCAGACAUUAUUAUAAACCGUCCUCCUCUCAGCAACCUCCACCCUAUUAGAUAAUCUAAAACAUGUCAACAUUCAUUUGUAAACUUGCUUGACAUGUAGGUAAAAAAUAUAUAUUUUUAAAUGGCCCCUCCACGAAUGAAUAAACAUCCGUAAGUAUCAACAGAGUAGGGGUCCUGUGGAAUUGGGCUGUGUUUUUCUCCAUUCUUCAGGCAUGCUUAUGUAACCGGUGUGAAAUGGCUGGCUAGUUAGCUGUUCGUGCUAGUGGCCCUGGUUCAGGCCCUGGUUGGGGCGAGGAGCGAGCCCUGGUUGGGGCGAGGACAGGGCCGUGGUUCUGGCCCUGGUUGGGGCGAUGGGAGGGCCCUGGUUGGGGUGCGGGCCCUUGUUGGGGCGAGGCGAGGGCCCUGGUUGGGGCGAGUGGAGAGAUAGAAGCUGUUCUACUUAUUAUUCUCUCCCUGUCAGACAGCAUCUAUUCUCAACCUGACCCCUACUGACCUGGAGGAGUGUGAGCAGUCUGUCUCUGUCUCUGACCCAGAGCAUCUGAAGACACUGCUGCAGCAUCAUAGACAUCCUGGGCACCUUAAAGAAGCUAAGGAUUCCUCAGAUGUUCUCUUCUAUGAUUCUGAUACCAUCCUGUUCACGUUGUUCCUCCUCGUUCCCUCACUGGAGUCUAAACCGACCCAGAAAGGUGGAGGAAAGGGCAGGGUGAAGACAGUGAUGUGACUACAGAAGGGGGGAAGAACAAGACUGGUGAGAAGGGACAGCAAGAAGUCAGCAGGGAAGAUGAAGACACUAAUGAGGAAAGUGAUGAGGACACUAAAAGACUGGAAGAGGCUGGGAACUCUGGGCAUCAGAAACGGCCAUCAUCAGGGGCCGUCAAUGGUAUUGAGAUUAAGGACAGAAUACUUUGCAUAGAUACUGAGUUUACAAAACAUUUAAGAACACCUGACUGACCUAUGAAAAAAGCUAUGAUUUCUUAUUGAUGUCACUUGUUAAAUCCACUUCCAUCACUGUAGAUAAAGGGGAGACGGGUUAAAUUAUUUGGGACUGGGGGGCCGUAUUGAGUAGCUUGGAUGAAUAAGGUGCCCAGAGUAAACUACCUGCUAUUCAGGCCCAGUUGCUAAUAUCUGCAUAUUAUUGGUAUAUUUGGAUAGAAAACAUUCUGUAGUUCCUAAAACUGUUUGAAUGAUGUCUGUGAGUAUAACAGAACUCAUAUGGCGGGCAAAAACCUGAGAGAAAAUCCAACCCGGAAGUGGGAAAUCUGAGGUUUGUAGUUUUUCAACUCGUGCCCUAUUGAAGAUACAGUGGUCAUAUUGCACUUCCUAAGGCCAUGGAGAACAGGUACAUUUGUUCCCAGUGUGGGAAGGGUCACAAAAACGAAUCUGACCUGAGACACAUUUUUUUUUAAACCUUUAUUUAACUUGGCAAGUCAGUUAAGAACAAAUUCUUAUUUUCAAUGACGGCCUAGUAACAGUGGGUUAACUGCCUGUUCACGGGCAAAACGACAGAUUUGUACCUUGUCCGCUCAAGGAUUUGAACUUGCAAGCUUUCGGUUACUCGUCCAACGCUCUAACCACUAGGCUACCCUGACGCCCAUAUGAAACAGUUCACUCUGAGGCAAAGCCGUUCCAUUGUGACCAGUGUGAGAAGAGGUUCCAAUCAAAUGUGGCUCUGAAAUAGCACCAUCGAGUUCACACUGGAGAAAGGCCAUACGUUUGCUCACAUUGUGGCAGGGGCUUUAGGAACACAGAGGUCUUGAAAUCACAUGUACACACUCACACUGGGGAGUGACCUUUUGUCUGUUCCAUCUGUGGGAAGGGAUGAAACCAACAGCGAAUACUAGUUAGUGUACCGUUUUUGGAAAUAUUGUUUCGUACCUCAGGUGCACUCACAAACACACACGGAUGAACGUCCCAAAAGCUGUGAGCAUUGCGGAUCCACACGGGCGGGCGGACGUUCUCCUGCACAGUGUGUGACAAAUGCUUCACCUCCCACAGCAGACACAAGCGAAUUCAUACAUGAGAGAAACCUUACAAGUGUAGAAUGUUCACUGAAAGUGGCAACCUGAAAGUAGACCAGCGGGUUCAUCGGGAAAAAGCCACAUUUACAGGUUCAGUGAGUAAUAUCAGUUCGGUCCACCACCAGUCACCAAGUGUGGCUGGGUUUUUUUUUACCUCCUUUUGCUCCCCAAUUUCGUGGUAUCCAAUUAUUAGUAGUUACUGUCUUGUCACAUCGCUGCAAAUCCAAAACACAACCCAACCAAGCUGCACUGCUUCUUAACACAGCACACAUCCAACCCGGAAGCUAGCCAGGUUGGAGGAGGAAUGGGUGUGUCGGAGGAAACACUGUACACCUCGUGCACACCUGGUCAGUGUGCACUACGCCCGGCCCGCCACAGGGGUCGCUAGUGCGCGAUGAGACAGACCCUCCCGACCAAACCCGGACAACACUAGGCCAAUUGUGCGUCGCCCCAUGGACCUCCCGGUCGCAGCCGGCUGCGACAGAGCCUGGGCUCAAACCCAGAGUUUCAGUGCCUUAGACCACUGCGCCACCCGGGAGGCCCUCUAGAACUAUAGUUUGACCACGCAAUGUGACAAAACCACCAUAUCAUAUACAGUUGAAGUCGGAAGUUUACAUACACUUAGGUUGGAGUCAUUUAAAACUCAUUUUUCAACCACUCCACAAAUUUUUUGUUAACAAACUAUAGUUUUGGCAAGUCAGUUAGGACAUCUACUUUGUGCAUGACACAAGUAAUGUUUCCAACAAUUGCUUACAGACAGAUUAUUUCACUUAUAAUUCACUAUCACAAUUCCAGUGGGUCAGAAGUUUACAUACACUAAGUUGACUGCCUUUAAACAGCUUGGAAAAUUCCAGAAAAUGAUGUCAUGGUUUUAGAAGCUUCUGAUAGGCUACUUGACAUCAUUUGAGUCAAUUUGAGGUCUACCUGUGGAUGUAUUUCAAGGCCUACCUUCAAACUCAGUGCCUCUUUGCUUGACAUCAUGGGAAAAUCUAAAGAAAUCAGCCAAAACCUCAGAAAAAAAAUGUAGACCUCCACAAGUCUGGUUCAUCCUUGGGAGCAAUUUCCAAAUGCCUGAAGGUACCAUGUCCAUCUGUACAUACAAUAGUACGCAAGUAUAAACACCAUGGGACCACACAGCCAUCAUACCUCUCAGGAAGGAGACGCGUUCUGUCUCCUAGAGAUGAACGUAUUUUGGAACGAUCCCAGAACAACAGCAAAGACCUUGUGAAGAUUCUGGAGGAAACGGGUACAAAGUAUCUAUAUCCACAGUAAAACGAGUCCUAUAUCGACAUAAUCUGAAAGGCCGCUCAGCAAGGAAGAAGCCACUGCUCCAAAACCACCAUAAAAAAAGCCAGACUAUGGUUUGCAACUGCACAUGGGGACAAAUAUUGUACUUUUUGGAGAAAUGUCCUCUGUUCUGAUGAAACAAAAAUCGAACUGUUUGGCCAUAAUGACCAUUGUUAUGUUUGGAGGGAAAAUGUGGAAACUUGCAGAACUUGAAGAACACCAUCCCGACUGUGAAGCAUGGGGGUGGCAGCAUCAUGUUGUGGGGGUGCUUUGCUGCAGGAGGGACUGGUGCACAUCACAAAAUAGAUGGCAUCAUGAGGGGGGAAAGUUAUGUGGAUAUAUUGAAGCAACAUCUCAAGACAUCAUUUAAAGCUUGGUCACAAAUGGGUCUUCCAAAUGGACAAUGACCCCAAGCAUACUUGCAAAAUUGUGGCAAAAUGGCUUAAGGACAACAAAGUCAAGGUAUUGGAGUGGCCAUCACAAAGCCCUGACCUCAAUCCUAUAGAAAAUCUGUGGGCAGAACUGAAAAAGCAUGUGGGAGCAAGGAGGCCUACCAACCUGACUCAGUUACACCAGCUCUGUCAGGAGGAAUGGGUCAAAAUUCACCCAACUCAUUAUGGGAAGCUUGUGGAAGUCUACCUGAAAUGUUUGACGCAAGUUAAACAAUUUAAAGGCAAUGCUACCAAAUACUAAUUGAGUGUAUGUAAACGUCUGACCCACUGGGCAUGUGAUGAAAGAAAUAAAAGCUUAAAUAAAUUGACAUUUCACAUCCUUAAAAUAAAGUGGUUAUCCUAACUGACCUAAGACAGGGAAUUUUUACUAGGAUUAAAUGUCUGUAAUUAAGACCUGAUCGGAAGACAUGUGAAGGAUUCCUGGCAAUGUUUUUGUAUAGAUUUUGUGUAAAUGUCUAUUCCUCAUAAUUGUUAGACAUUGUCUUGAAGGCUUUAUGAGCAGCAUGUCAAAUAAAGUGGUCCCAGCUUUUC